ensembl:snoRNA
AGUAUCGCUGAUGAUAAUUUGGCUCCCUCUACUGAAGUCCAUGAGGAUAAUCGCCACUGUUACCCAAUAUCUGUCUGAGAUGCU